GACAGAGGUGCCAAGCGUUAGGCGGAAUCACUGGGCUUAAAGCGUGUGUAGGCGGACUUGUAAGUACCUUGUGAAAUCCCCACGGCUCACCCGUGGAACUGCUGGGUAUACUGCGAGUCUUGAGCCACUUAGGGGCUGUCGGAACAGGCGGUGGAGCGGUGAAAUGCGUAGAUAUCGCCUGGAACGCCAAAGGUGAAAACAGACAGCUGGGAGUGUGCUGACGUGAGACACGAAAGCCAGGGGAGCAAACGGG
rnacentral:rRNA from 1 species